GGGCGUAUAGCGCAGUUGGUAGCGCGCCUGUUUAGCAUCUCUAGCUUACAGGAGGUCUGCGGUUCAAAUCCGCAUUCGUCCA
rnacentral:tRNA from 1 species